rfam:Rattus norvegicus chromosome 2, whole genome shotgun sequence.
GGGGGUUUAGCUCAGUGGUAGAGCGCUUGCCUUGCAAGCGCAAGGCCCUGGGUUCGGUCCCCCAGCUCCG